rnacentral:rRNA from 1 species
AAUGAACGCUGGCGGCGUGCCUAACACAUGCAAGUCGUACGAGAAAGGGGCUUCGGCCCUGAGUAGAGUGGCGCACGGGUGAGUAACGCGUGGGUAAUCUGCCCUUGGAUUUGGAAUAACUCCGCGAAAGUGGAGCUAAUACCGGAUAGUCUGGCUUUUUAACGAAGUCGGUAAAGGAUGCCUCUGCAUAUGCAUUCGUCCGAGGAUGAGCCCGCGUCUCAUUAGCUAGUUGGUAGGGUAAUGGCCUACCAAGGCAACGAUGAGUAGCUGGUCUGAGAGGAUGAUCAGCCACACUGGAACUGAAACACGGUCCAGACUCCUACGGGAGGCAGCAGUGGGGAAUAUUGCGCAAUGGGCGAAAGCCUGACGCAGCAACGCCGUGUGAGGGAUGAAGGCUUUCGGGUCGUAAACCUCUGUCAGAAGGGAAGAACGGGCAUUGGUCUAAUAGGCCUUUGUUUUGACGGUACCUUCAGAGGAAGCACCGGCUAACUCCGUGCCAGCCGCCGCAGUAAUAC